GAGCCGCUAGCUCAGUCGGUAGAGCACUUGACUUUUAAUCAAGUGGUGCCGGGUUCGAGCCCCGGGCGGCUCA
rnacentral:tRNA from 1 species